rnacentral:rRNA from 1 species
GAAUUGUUCACAAUGGGCGCAAGCCUGAUGACGCAACGCCGCGUGGAGGAUGAAGGUCUUCGGAUUGUAAACUCCUGUUGCUCGGGACGAAAGGCUUCAACCUAAUACGUUGAAGUCUGACGGUACCGGGUGAGGAAGCCCAGGCUAACUCUGUGCCAGCAGCCGCGGUAAUACAGAGGGGGCAAGCGUUGUUCGGAAUUACUGGGCGUAAAGGGCGCGUAGGCGGCCUUCUAAGUCAGACGUGAAAUCCCCGGGCUCAACCCGGGAACUGCGUCUGAUACUGGAUGGCUUGAAUCCGGGAGAGGGAUGUGGAAUUCCAGGUGUAGCGGUGAAAUGCGUAGAUAUCUGGAGGAACACCGGUGGCGAAGGCGGCAUCCUGGACCGGUAUUGACGCUGAGGCGCGAAAGCCAGGGGAGCAAAC